CUGCUGCCUUCCGUAGGAGUCUGGACCGUCUCUCAGUUCCAAUGUGGCCGUUCAACCUCUCAGUCCGGCUACUGAUCGUCGACUUGGUGAGCCGUUACCUCACCAACUAUCUAAUCAGACAUGAGCCCAUCUUUCAGCGGAUUGCUCCUUUGAUAACAGGAUCAUGCGAUCCCGUCAUUUCAUGCGGUAUUAGCACACCUUUCGAUGUGUUAUCCCCCUCUGAAAGGCAAGUUG
rnacentral:rRNA from 1 species